UACGUAGGGGGCAAGCGUUGUCCGGAAUCAUUGGGCGUAAAGAGCGUGUAGGCGGCCAGAAAAGUCCGCUGUGAAAACUCGAGGCUCAACUUCGAGCUGUCGGUGGAAACUUUCUGGCUAGAGUCCGGAAGAGGCGAGUGGAAUUCCCGGUGUAGCGGUGAAAUGCGCAGAUAUCGGGAGGAACACCAAUUGCGAAGGCAGCUCGCUGGGACGUUACUGACGCUGAGACGCGAAAGCGUGGGGAGCAAACAGG
rnacentral:rRNA from 1 species